rnacentral:rRNA from 1 species
UACGAGGGGGGCAAGCGUUGUUCGGAUUUAUUGGGCGUAAAGAGCUCGUAGGCGGCCUGUUGCGUCCGCUGUGAAAUCCCAGGGCUCAACCCUGGGCGUGCAGUGGAUACGGGCAGGCUGGAGGCAGGCAGGGGAGAACGGAAUUCCCGGUGUAGCGGUGAAAUGCGCAGAUAUCAGGAGGAACACCUGUGGUGUAGACAGCUUACUGGACCACUUCUGACGCUGAGACACGAAAGCGUGGGUAGCAAACAGG